rnacentral:rRNA from 1 species
CCUACGGGUGGCAGCAGUGAGGAAUAUUGGUCAAUGGACGCAAGUCUGAACCAGCCAUGCCGCGUGCAGGAAGACGGCUCUAUGAGUUGUAAACUGCUUUUGUACGAGGGUAAACCCAGAUACGCGUAUCUGUCUGAAAGUAUCGUACGAAUAAGGAUCGGCUAACUCCGUGCCAGCAGCCGCGGUAAUACGGAGGAUUCAAGCGUUAUCCGGAUUUAUUGGGUUUAAAGGGUGCGUAGGCGGUCGGAUAAGUUAGAGGUGAAAUCCCGAGGCCCAACUUCGGAAUUGCCGCUGAUACUGUUCGGCGAGAGAGUAGUUGCGGUAGGCGGAAUGUAUGGUGUAGCGGUGAAAUGCUUAGAGAUCAUACAGAACACCGAUUGCGAAGGCAGCUUACCAAGCUACAUCUGACGUUGAGGCACGAAAGCGUGGGGAGCAAACAGGAUUAGAUACCCCAGUAGUC